rnacentral:lncRNA from 9 species
AUGGCAGAGCGAGGCUGGAUUCAGAAAACCGGAGGUAGAGGGGGAGGCGGGAAGGAAGCCAGCGUGUCUGCAAUAAUGGCAUCAUGGUUUCUAAGACAGAAGGGCGUCAGAGGGGCGGCUGUGCGACCUUCAGAGCCACUGAGGUUGUCUUCGUGCAGACGCGAAGAGAGGCCAUCGCUCAUCCGGCAGACUUGCAGACAUCAAGACAGUCAAGGCAGGAAGAAGGCGGAAACUCUUGCACGGCGUGGGGAGGGCGAUGCAGGUACUCUGCUGGUUUGUUGGCAAGUUCACGUGAGCUUUGUGGAAGCAAUGUGAGACUGUCUCGAGACCCUUUAAAGAGUUCAUUCUCUUUGUUUUUCUGAGGGGUUGACUCGUGUCCGUCAGAGACAUGCGUCCAGGCCCUGAGCCCUGGUCCCCACGACCGCGAGCUUCUCUAGGAACAAGCACUCUGCAGAUGUUAAGGUGGCGUAGGCCCGCCCUUGAUCCAAUACCGUUCGUGUCCUUGUAAGGAGAGGCGACACGCAGACAGACACGGGAAGGACACUCCGUAGUGACAGGCACGGGGUUAGGGUAAGCUGAGAGACACCAGGGACUGCAGGGGACAUCAGACGCUAACGGGCAGGAGACCGAUUUUCUCCUGGAGCCUUUGGAGGGAGCUGCUCCCUGUUGGCGCCUGGACUGCAGACUUCUGGCCUCUGCGGCCGUGAGACCACAAAGCCCUGUUGUUUUACGCCCUCCCGGUGUGGCCCUUUGUUACGACAGCCCCAGGAAACCAGCACAGCCUUUCUUUGGCUUUCAUUUCCAGGUCGGAAUCUGACAGCGCCUUACUUGGCAAGUUUCUUCCCAUGGCCUCCUGGCACAUGGACCACAUCUCCCAGUCUCCCUUGCGGUCGGCCAUGGCACGUGACUGAUUUUGGCCAGUGGGAUGCAGUCAGAAGGGACGCCCCCAGGCCUGGCCAGUAGCAACCUGGGCUCCCCUCUCGGUCAGUCCUCUGCCUGGGAGCAGACACCAAGCCUAGGACCCCGAGUCCUACCAGACAGACAGAGUCUGUGCCCCCGGGUCAUCCUAAACACCUGUACGGAGCUCCCUGUUGUGUGGGUGAGCACUGGCCUUCUGCUGAGACUGGAGGGGUCAGCAUUUAGCCCAGCUUGACUAGGAGAAGGAGGGAAUCAGAGAUGGAUGAAAGCCAAGAUUCAGAGGCCAGGAUGCUCCUACGCCCAAUUUUACUCGCUUCCGGCUUCAAAAUAAAGUCGCUUUUCUUUUCCUAUUAGGUCUGCGUGGCCCCACGUCUUUGUCCUUGGACUCUUUGGGCAGCCACUCUUGUUGGGGUGGUGGUGGAGGUUUCUCAGCCACUCCCCAGGUCUGGCCUUCCCCACUGCUUCUUACUCUGUCCAAGGGGUCAGCCGGAGUGUAGGCAGACAGGAUAGGGGUUCUGGGAGGAAGAGAACCAGGUGUGCCUUUCCUGAAAAGAAAAGCCUUUUAUUUUUUGCUUUUUAGGACCACAUGUGCAGCAUAUGGAAGUUCCCAGGCUAGGGAUUGAAUUGGAGACGUGGCUGCCGGCCUACACCACAGCCACAGCAACGUGGGAUCCGAGCCGCGUCUGCUACCUACACUGCAGCUCACAGCAACGCUGGAUCCUUAAGCCAAUGAGUGAGGCCAGCGGUUGAACCUGCUUCCUUAUGGACGCUAGUCGGGUUUAUUACUGCUGAGCCACAGCGGGAACUCCAAGGGAGCCCCUUUUAGGCCCAGGCCAUCUUGUGAUAUAAGCCUGGCCUCAGUGCUCUUGCUGACAGAGGAAGAGAUCGCAGCAGUUAAUGAUUCUGAGGGAAGGGAAAGGUAAGAACGAGCGACCAUUGCCAGGCCAGGGAAAUGCCCAUUCUGGAAACAAUCAAGCAAAUUUUGCUGCACGAGGAUCUCUUGGGGCCUUAAAGGCCUGCUGCCCAGGCUUCACCCUCGCCUGUAGCCCAGUUUGGGAACCUGCUGGUUGGAAUUCUGGUUCUGCCACUUGUUAGCUGUGUAGCCUUAGCAAGUUUGGUUUGUUUGUUUGUUUGUUUGUUUGUCUUUUUAGGGCUGCACCCUUGGGAUAUGGAGGUUCCCAGGCUAGGGGUCUAAUCCGAGCUACAGGGGCCGGCCUAUACCACAGCCACAGCAAUGCGGGUACCCGAGCCGCGUCUGCUACCUACACUGCAGCUCACGGCAACCCUAGAUCCUUAACCCACUGAGUGAGGCCAGGGAUCGAACCCACAACCUCAUGAUUCCUAGACGGAUUUGUUUCUGCUGCGCCACGACGGGAAC